UCUACAGGCAGGUGAAUGUACAUGUUAGAACUACACCAAUCAUACACGUAGUACUACUUCAUUUUACAACAGCAGUAAAACUGAUAAUUAAUCCAGUAAAUAUCCUUCUAGUGCAAAUAUGGAUGAUUUUACAUUUUAGAUCGUCUCUGGACAAUGUGAACGGUAAACAUGACAUUAUUUAAUAUUUUUAUCUCUACACACAAAUAGCGACCAACAUCUGUGUUAUCUUGAAAUGUCACUCAUGUCAUAUAUAUGAGAUCUCUGUUUUGAUUGAGAAAUUUACCCCAAAUAGGCUGUAAAAUUUAGCACAAAUACCACAAAUCUGAUGUUUUCACAGCUGAAUACUGCAUGAAAAACAGGCAUAAUACUACAUUUUUAUUGCCUGUUUCUGCUGCAGAACAUGCAUGUGACAGGCUCUUUGAGAGUUUGACAAAGUAAAAUCACAUUUGUGUAUUGAACAUUAUCAAGAGGUUCAAUAUUGUGGCUCGUUGAUGUGUUUUUAAUGGCAUUAAAGGAGCUCUGUGGCACAGGUGAAUAUACAAGGCUUUGGUUACUCAAAUAAUUAGUAUGAGUAGGACCAAAUCUGUGUUUUUAAAAAACAUAUAUA